rnacentral:rRNA from 1 species
GACGAACGCUGGCGGCGUGCCUAAUACAUGCAAGUAGAACGCUGAAGAGAGGAGCUUGCUCUUCUUGGAUGAGUUGCGAACGGGUGAGUAACGCGUAGGUAACCUGCCUUGGAGUGGGGAAUAACACAGUGAAAAUUGUGCUAAUACCGCAUAAUGCAGUUGGGUCGCAUGACUCUGACUGCCAAAGAUUUAUCGCUCUGAGAUGGCCUCGCGUCUGAUUACCUAGUUGGUGGGGUAACGGCCCACCAAGGCGACGAUCAGUAGCCGGACUGAGAGGUUGGCCGGCCACAUUGGGACUGAGACACGGCCCAGACUCCUACGGGAGGCAGCAGUGGGGAAUAUUGGGGCAAUGGGGCGCAAGCCUGACCCAGCAACGCCGCGUGAAGG